UACGGAGGGUGCAAGCGUUGUUCGGAUUUACUGGGCGUAAAGGGCGCGUAGGCGGUCAGCACAAGUCAGUUGUGAAAUCUCCGAGCUUAACUCGGAAAGGUCAACUGAUACUGUGCGACUAGAGUGCGGAAGGGGCAACUGGAAUUCUUGGUGUAGCGGUGAAAUGCGUAGAUAUCAAGAGGAACACCUGCGGCGAAGGCGGGUUGCUGGGCCGACACUGACGCUGAGGCGCGAAAGCUAGGGGAGCGAACGGG
rnacentral:rRNA from 1 species